GGUUGUGGCUCAGUGGUAGAGUGCUUGUCUAGCACAUGUGAGGCACUGGGUUCGAUUCUCAGCACCA
rnacentral:tRNA from 1 species